AUUGAACGCUGGCGGCAUGCCUUACACAUGCAAGUCGAACGGUAACAGGUCUUCGGAUGCUGACGAGUGGCGAACGGGUGAGUAAUACAUCGGAACGUGCCCGAUCGUGGGGGAUAACGGAGCGAAAGCUUUGCUAAUACCGCAUACGAUCUACGGAUGAAAGCAGGGGACCGCAAGGCCUUGCGCGAACGGAGCGGCCGAUGGCAGAUUAGGUAGUUGGUGGGAUAAAAGCUUACCAAGCCGACGAUCUGUAGCUGGUCUGAGAGGACGACCAGCCACAAGGGGACUGAGACACGGCCCAGACUCCUACGGGAGGCAGAAGUGGGGAAUUUUGGACAAUGGGCGCAAGCCUGAUCCAGCAAUGCCGCGUGCAGGAUGAAGGCCUUCGGGUUGUAAACUGCUUUUGUACGGAACGAAAAGGCUCUGGUUAAUACCUGGGGCUCAUGACGGUACCGUAAGAAUAAGCACCGGCUAACUACGUGCCAGCCGCCGCCGUAACAC
rnacentral:rRNA from 1 species